GUGCUUGCUUCCACAGCAUAUAUACUAAAAUUUGAAUGACACAGAGAAGAUUAGCAUGGCCUCUGUGCAAGGAUGACAUCCAAAUUUGUGAAGUGUUUCAUAUUUUU